ensembl:lncRNA
GUUUUUUGUUCUGUCACCAUGAAAGUGCAUUGCAGCCUCUUUCUUUACUUUAAGGGAGUUUCCUUAGCCAGUCAAGUUUUUGAACAUGUAGCCAUUCUAUGACUGCUCUGUCCAUCCAAACACCUAGGGCAGUCCAGGGAAGGAGAGGAGGGUUUUGUACACAGAGAUGCACUGAGGAAUCUCUGCUAUGUGUGUUUCAUUUUAUUUUCUUUUUUCCCCUUUCUUUGUGCUGGAAUCCUCCAGCUUGCUCAGCACCUAGGUUGUUAAUGGCUUCUGGAAAUGAAUUAUGGCUGCCAGGAGUGCUAAAGCCCCAUCUCAGAUUUGUUCCCACAUCAUGUGUAAGAUAUGGUUAGGUUCUGGUCCAGAUAACUUUUCGGUCUUUAAAUUGGAGUAGUGAACCUUUUUCAUAGGUUCAUCCAUCAUGAGUGUCUUAGUUCUGCCAGAUUUUGAUCCUGAAAAUAAUUGUUUUUCAGACAGAAGCUAUGGGUUUGAUAGAGCAGGAGAUAGGACUCUUUUUAUAGCCAUAAUCCUGUGUUGUAAGAAUUGUUUGUCUCAUGUCUCCUACUUAGGAUUUCUGUGUAGUUAUUUAUACCAUUCUUAUUGCAUUCAGUAAGGGGCAUGACUCCCCAGUGCGGAUCUGCAAACAUGAUGAUGCAUGGAAAGUUUCAGUUAGUAUUUAAUGAACUUCUUCAUAUAUUCAGUACGAGGACAUUGCUGAGGAUGCAAGCCUUGGCAAGUAGAAGUAUCAACUGUUUUGUUUUGUUGGGAUUUUUUUUUUUCUUGCUACUUAAAGCACUGAACUUAAGCACACUUGAACUAGUAACUAGAGAAACAUGAUUUCUUAAAGUCAUUUCUGGAAGCUAGUAUUGUAAGAUGGCCUUGCAAAGGCCAAAGAAUGAGGUAUUCCCAGAGAAAGUGUUAAACAAAAAUCUUAAUUAAAGUAUGUACGAGUUACGACUAUUCUUCCUGUGAAAACACCAGUGUUUCUAUCACUUCACUAAGGGUCUUUUUGUACAGUAGACAAAGGCCUGCAAGGAAAACAAAAGACUUUGCAUCUGGGAAUUAAAAAAGGAAUAUUUUCUUUGUUCCAAGUAACCCAUACUGUUAAUUCUAAAAAUGAAAUAGAAUAUUUUUCUAAAAGCUUAGUAUGCAGCCUGAGCAUUUCCAUGGAAUGUCCUUUACUAUUCACUGACUCACUCCCUAUUCAUUUAUAGUUAA